rnacentral:tRNA from 1 species
UUGGGAUAGCUCAGUGUAGAGCAGAGUUAAG